AGCGUACACGGUGGAUGCCCUGGCAGUCAGAGGCGAUGAAGGACGUGCUAAUCUGCGAUAAGCGUCGGUAAGGUGAUAUGAACCGUUAUAACCGGCGAUUUCCGAAUGGGGAAACCCAGUGUGUUUCGACACACUAUCAUUAACUGAAUCCAUAGGUUAAUGAGGCGAACCGGGGGAACUGAAACAUCUAAGUACCCCGAGGAAAAGAAAUCAACCGAGAUUCCCCCAGUAGCGGCGAGCGAACGGGGAGCAGCCCAGAGCCUGAAUCAGUGUGUGUGUUAGUGGAAGCGUCUGGAAAGGCGCGCGAUACAGGGUGACAGCCCCGUACACAAAAAUGCACAUACUGUGAGCUCGAUGAGUAGGGCGGGACACGUGGUAUCCUGUCUGAAUAUGGGGGGACCAUCCUCCAAGGCUAAAUACUCCUGACUGACCGAUAGUGAACCAGUACCGUGAGGGAAAGGCGAAAAGAACCCCGGCGAGGGGAGUGAAAAAGAACCUGAAACCGUGUACGUACAAGCAGUGGGAGCCUCUUUAUGGGGUGACUGCGUACCUUUUGUAUAAUGGGUCAGCGACUUAUAUUCUGUAGCAAGGUUAACCGAAUAGGGGAGCCGAAGGGAAACCGAGUCUUAACUGGGCGUUAAGUUGCAGGGUAUAGACCCGAAACCCGGUGAUCUAGCCAUGGGCAGGUUGAAGGUUGGGUAACACUAACUGGAGGACCGAACCGACUAAUGUUGAAAAAUUAGCGGAUGACUUGUGGCUGGGGGUGAAAGGCCAAUCAAACCGGGAGAUAGCUGGUUCUCCCCGAAAGCUAUUUAGGUAGCGCCUCGUGAAUUCAUCUCCGGGGGUAGAGCACUGUUUCGGCAAGGGGGUCAUCCCGACUUACCAACCCGAUGCAAACUGCGAAUACCGGAGAAUGUUAUCACGGGAGACACACGGCGGGUGCUAACGUCCGUCGUGAAGAGGGAAACAACCCAGACCGCCAGCUAAGGUCCCAAAGUCAUGGUUAAGUGGGAAACGAUGUGGGAAGGCCCAGACAGCCAGGAUGUUGGCUUAGAAGCAGCCAUCAUUUAAAGAAAGCGUAAUAGCUCACUGGUCGAGUCGGCCUGCGCGGAAGAUGUAACGGGGCUAAACCAUGCACCGAAGCUGCGGCAGCGACACUAUGUGUUGUUGGGUAGGGGAGCGUUCUGUAAGCCUGUGAAGGUGUGCUGUGAGGUAUGCUGGAGGUAUCAGAAGUGCGAAUGCUGACAUAAGUAACGAUAAAGCGGGUGAAAAGCCCGCUCGCCGGAAGACCAAGGGUUCCUGUCCAACGUUAAUCGGGGCAGGGUGAGUCGACCCCUAAGGCGAGGCCGAAAGGCGUAGUCGAUGGGAAACAGGUUAAUAUUCCUGUACUUGGUGUUACUGCGAAGGGGGGACGGAGAAGGCUAUGUUGGCCGGGCGACGGUUGUCCCGGUUUAAGCGUGUAGGCUGGUUUUCCAGGCAAAUCCGGAAAAUCAAGGCUGAGGCGUGAUGACGAGGCACUACGGUGCUGAAGCAACAAAUGCCCUGCUUCCAGGAAAAGCCUCUAAGCAUCAGGUAACAUCAAAUCGUACCCCAAACCGACACAGGUGGUCAGGUAGAGAAUACCAAGGCGCUUGAGAGAACUCGGGUGAAGGAACUAGGCAAAAUGGUGCCGUAACUUCGGGAGAAGGCACGCUGAUAUGUAGGUGAAGUCCCUUGCGGAUGGAGCUGAAAUCAGUCGAAGAUACCAGCUGGCUGCAACUGUUUAUUAAAAACACAGCACUGUGCAAACACGAAAGUGGACGUAUACGGUGUGACGCCUGCCCGGUGCCGGAAGGUUAAUUGAUGGGGUUAGCGGUAACGCGAAGCUCUUGAUCGAAGCCCCGGUAAACGGCGGCCGUAACUAUAACGGUCCUAAGGUAGCGAAAUUCCUUGUCGGGUAAGUUCCGACCUGCACGAAUGGCGUAAUGAUGGCCAGGCUGUCUCCACCCGAGACUCAGUGAAAUUGAACUCGCUGUGAAGAUGCAGUGUACCCGCGGCAAGACGGAAAGACCCCGUGAACCUUUACUAUAGCUUGACACUGAACAUUGAGCCUUGAUGUGUAGGAUAGGUGGGAGGCUUUGAAGUGUGGACGCCAGUCUGCAUGGAGCCGACCUUGAAAUACCACCCUUUAAUGUUUGAUGUUCUAACGUUGGCCCCUAAUCGGGGUUGCGGACAGUGUCUGGUGGGUAGUUUGACUGGGGCGGUCUCCUCCUAAAGAGUAACGGAGGAGCACGAAGGUUGGCUAAUCCUGGUCGGACAUCAGGAGGUUAGUGCAAUGGCAUAAGCCAGCUUGACUGCGAGCGUGACGGCGCGAGCAGGUGCGAAAGCAGGUCAUAGUGAUCCGGUGGUUCUGAAUGGAAGGGCCAUCGCUCAACGGAUAAAAGGUACUCCGGGGAUAACAGGCUGAUACCGCCCAAGAGUUCAUAUCGACGGCGGUGUUUGGCACCUCGAUGUCGGCUCAUCACAUCCUGGGGCUGAAGUAGGUCCCAAGGGUAUGGCUGUUCGCCAUUUAAAGUGGUACGCGAGCUGGGUUUAGAACGUCGUGAGACAGUUCGGUCCCUAUCUGCCGUGGGCGCUGGAGAACUGAGGGGGGCUGCUCCUAGUACGAGAGGACCGGAGUGGACGCAUCACUGGUGUUCGGGUUGUCAUGCCAAUGGCACUGCCCGGUAGCUAAAUGCGGAAGAGAUAAGUGCUGAAAGCAUCUAAGCACGAAACUUGCCCCGAGAUGAGUUCU
rnacentral:rRNA from 1 species